rnacentral:lncRNA from 13 species
AGAAAGAAGAAGCCGGCUAACGACAUUCUCUAUUCUCUCCGUACGCAGCAUGCGGUAUAUGAGCUUUGACGAGUGUAUAAAUAAAAUUUUCUUUUAAUGGUAUUUGAUUCCUUGCGUAGUUUCCGUAGUCUUUUUCACCACUCCUAUACAACGGAUAAUCUUGACAUACGGAACAUCCCGCUGUAUAACGAUAUUGCAGCAAAUCCCCGGUUUUCCUUCCUGUUCUGCAAGCUGAUUUUCUAGUUCUUUUGCCUGACAAUAUGGCAUCAGAAAGAAAGAAGAAAGACUUAUCAAAGGUUACAAAUAGACAUUUCCGUAGAAUUAUAUUGGAUGAAUAUAAUAAGACUAGAGGACGAAUAUAUCACAGUUUUAAAAGAACACAUAAUAUUUCUGACACUUCUGAAAAUACAUCAACUGCAUCUAAUGGCAUAAAUAAUAUUAAUGAUCACAAUAAUAGUCAUAUAACUAAUGUUAAUCCUAAUAAUCUUUAUGUAUAUUAACGUAUCAAGAUUAUAACAUAUUAAUAUUGAAAAAGAUGUGUUUGAAACAAAGAAUAAAAUUAGUUUUGCAGA